rnacentral:rRNA from 1 species
CCUACGGGAGGCUGCAGUGGGGGAUAUUGCACAAUGGGGGAAACCCUGAUGCAGCGACGCCGCGUGUGGGAAGACGGUCCUCUGGAUUGUAAACCACUGUCCCCAGGGACGAAGAUGACGGUACCUGGGGAGGAAGCUCCGGCUAACUACGUGCCAGCAGCCGCGGUAAUACGUAGGGAGCGAGCGUUUUCCGGAAUUACUGGGUGUAAAGGGAGCGUAGGCGGGACUGGAAGUUUGGGGUCAAAUCUACCGGCUCAACCGGUAGCCGCACUCAAAACUGCAGUUCUUGAGUGAAGGAGAGGCAGGCGGAAGUCCUGGUGUAGCGGUGAAAUGCGUAGAUAUUAGGAGGAACACCAGUGGCGAAGGCGGCGUGCUGGGCUUUUACUGACGCUGAGGCUCGAAAGUGUGGGGAGCGAACAGGAUUAGAUACCCGAGUAGUC